AAGCUUCUAGGAAAUUUCCUCGAUUCCCUCCCUCUCUUAAAAGUCCCAUUCACUACUGUAUAUAAAAAGAUCUCCGAAAUCUCUCCCUCAUAAAUAAUUUGCAAAACCCCACUUCUGCACUACACGAACCCUAAACAAUGAGUUCUUCUACGCAACAAUUUGCAGCGGUAGGCGGCAGAGAAACUUCAUCUGAUAUCAAUCAACCAAGUACAUCUGAUCAUCGUUCAAUGAAGAUCCGGAGGCUUGAAUCCGGCAGAGAAAUUGAUAAGUUUGGGAUCAAGGAAUUUCUUUUUGUGUUUGAAACCGACGGUGAUAGUAAAGCCCAUCUCCUGCUCCAAUGAAGCUAACCAGAAGGAAGCAAACAAGUCAUCGUAUUUUAUGUGGACUAGAUUCAUGGAUUUCCUACUGUAGACUUUUCUUCUGUUUUUGAGUUAUUUUCUGUUUAUGGGGGGAGGGACAUGUCUGUUGUAUAUCGCUGACUGCAAAUGUAAAUUAAUAGUGGAUUAGCAAGUGUCAUAGAAUAUGUAGAGUUGAUGGGAUCUCAGUUUUAGUCUCUUCGAUUGGUGGUCUACAAGCUAUCAUGAUAUUUGGCUAAUAUAACAUUUUGGAAUGGGUGCCAACAUUCGAUACCAAA